rnacentral:rRNA from 1 species
ACUUUUGUCCGGAAAGAAAUCCUUGGUUCUAAUAUAGCCGGGGGAUGACGGUACCGGAAGAAUAAGCACCGGCUAACUACGUGCCAGCAGCCGCGGUAAUACGUAGGGUGCGAGCGUUAAUCGGAAUUACUGGGCGUAAAGCGUGCGCAGGCGGUUUGCUAAGACCGAUGUGAAAUCCCCGGGCUCAACCUGGGAACUGCAUUGGUGACUGGCAGGCUAGAGUAUGGCAGAGGGGGGUAGAAUUCCACGUGUAGCAGUGAAAUGCGUAGAGAUGUGGAGGAAUACCGAUGGCGAAGGCAGCCCCCUGGGCCAAUACUGACGCUCAUGCACGAAAGCGUGGGGAGCAAACAGGAUUAGAUACCCUGGUAGUCCA